GUCCCUGUAGUGCAAUGACAGCGCAUUGGACUUCUAAUCCAAAGGUCGUGGGAUCGAGUUCUGCCUGGGAUG